rnacentral:rRNA from 1 species
AGCGGCCUACCAACGCGAUGAUCGGUAGCAGUUCGUGAGAGGGCACACGGCCACACUCAGCACUGAAACACGGGCCAGACUCCUACGGGAGGCAGCAGUGGGCGAAUAUUGGACAAUGAGCGCAAGCGUGAUCCAGCCAUGCCGCGUGGGUGAUGAAGGCCCUAGGGUUGUAAAGCCCUUUCGAUGAUGACGAUAAUGACGGUACCUAGAGAAGAAGCCCCGGCCAACUUCGUGCCAGCAGCCGCGGUAAUACCAGGGGGGCGAGCGUUGUUCGGAAUUAUUGGGCGUAAAGGGUGCGUAGGCGGUUUGGUAAGUCUUGUGUGAAAUCUUCGGGCUCAACCAGAAGUCUGCAUGAUAAACUGCCGCGAUUGAGUGUGGGAGAGGUGAGUGGAAUUCCCGGCGUAGCGGUGAAAAG